UUUUGUUUGUUGUUCUGUAUGUGGAAGGUUUGAGUGGGAGCCACCAUCAAUAAAAGCAACACUGUGCAUUUGUUUAAAACAGGACUCCUCUGGAAACAAAACCACGGGUUUGACGUUUAAGGAGGCCACCCAGUAGCAGCAAAUCCAUGAGGCUUCAUUAUUAUCCAUUUAUAGAGAAGAGAACGGAUCCUUAGAGACAAUGUGUGAUUCCCAAUGCCCCAACUAGCAAGUAGAAGAGUGGGGAUAUGAACCCAAGUCUGACUUCCAAGCCCAUAGUAUUUCCAUUAGUAAACGUCCAGAAGGGCACAGAUAUAUAAACCUAGAAGGGACUUAAAGGACUUUAAGAGCCUUGCUAGCCCAUCUCCAUCUCUGCAUAGAUUUCAUUCAAGCAUCUUUAUAAACUACCCUUUUCUUCAAGGCUGUUGAGAAAGAACCUAUUCUGGAACCUCUAAAGCAACACAACUUGGAACUUCAUAGUCUGAAUGUUAAGGGAAUGGAGAAAGAAGUAAAAGAAACUGGAGAAAGGGAAGAAAAAGGCAGGAUGGAAACAAAGGACAGGGACCUGGACAUACACUGUGUGGAUCGCUCAGUCUCCACGCCCCCAUCUCCCAGUAAAAGCAGGAUCAAGUAGGGGGUCAGUGAAGAGAAGCAGAAAUUACUCCAGCCAGUCUCAGCAGAAAAGGAUUAACUACUGUGUAUUGAGUGAUUUACAAAGCCUGGAGUAGUAGGCUCUAGGUCAAGCAGUCCAAAAAAGCCCCCUACCCUGCGGAAUGACACCACCUCUGCUAUGACACAGAAAGUCACCCAGCACCGUGGGACGCUACCAUGGCAUUAAGUUGCUGAAUCACAUUGCCACAGACGCAGUCCACACCAGCCAGAUGGCUGCUUAUUUACCUGUUAAUCCAGUUCUGAACCAUUUCACCUCAAUACCAGUGGCUGUUCAUUUCCUGAAUUCUCAUCACCAUAGUGGAGUGGAACUGAGAUGGCUAAAUGUAGCUUAUUCAUGGAAGUCACACAUUAUCCCUGGGCACGACUGCAGGAUCGCAUCACCAUGACAAUAUGCCUAAGGGCAUGGCAGCUAUGAGGACACAACUUGGAGUCAGAUCUGGGUUCAAAUGUUAGCUACUUUUCUUCCUAAGAUCUGAGUAGGCUACGCUCUAGGCCUUAACUUUUCAGCUGUAUCACUGGAGUAUUAAUCCCCGCCUGCAGAAUUAUUGUAAGCAAUGCACAUAGUCUGGGGUCUACAGGUAGAUCCAAAGACAUGAAAGCCUUCUAGAUGUAAUAAGGCAUUUCUAGAAAAUGAAAACUAGCUAGUGGCAAUUAAAUUUUUCUUUUGAAAAGAUUUUUAUUGAUUCAUAUGAUAUACACAGA